GGCCGAUGAUGUGAGAAAUAUUUGCUACUCUUGAUUGGAAUUCUUUUUAAUCCCACAUGAUGAUUCCUAUCCACCAAGAUCUCUGAGGCC